rnacentral:rRNA from 1 species
AGAGUUUGAUCAUGGCUCAGGAUGAACGCUAGCGGCAGGCUUAAUACAUGCAAGUCGAACGGUAACAGGUGUAGCAAUACAUGCUGACGAGUGGCAGACGGGUGAGGAACACGUACGCAAUCUUCCUUUUACUGGGGCACAACCCGAAGAAAUUCAGGCUAAUUCCCCAUAACAUUGUUUGAGGGCAUCUGAUGACAAUU